UAGAAAUACAGGUUUUAGCAACCACUGGACUUCUCCACCUUUAUGCACAAUGUUCUGUGUCUUUAUUUUAGAUUUGGAUUAUGGUGGUUUUCUAACCCAGCCACAGUUCUGCAGUAUAGAACAGGUUCUGGCAUACACACUUUGCCCUAAAGAAAGUUCUGGCUGUAGGUAGAAUGCCAUGAAUAAUACCUUAUUUUCUGAGUGGCUUCAGAGGAAUCGUUCAUGAGUUAUUUUCUCAGAUGCAGGUAGACUGUCUUCAAAUAAUGUCAUGUUUCUGUGCUACUUCUGUAUAAAUUUGAGUUUACCCAGGCUAUCUGUUAAGGGGCUUGUUAUUUUUAUCAUCUGUGUAUAUAGAUCCAUGUGCCUUGUAUUUGUGGAAAAGGGCAGUAUUUUUAUAGAAAUCCAUUUCAUUCAAUGUCCCAUUUCACCAGGGAGAACCUGCAUUAAACUUUGACUGUAUUUUGUACUUACUGAGUUUGUAGCAUUAACAGUUGGGGAUAUUGUAGAACUCACAUUUGCCAACAGGAACAGCAGUAACAGGAGACUUCAGGUGUUUGUAGAGGAGAUUUUUGGGGCCUGUUUCUUGGUUUUGGGAACACAAAGGCUGAUGCUUGGCAAGGAUAGAAUAUUGUUAUUGUAGUGUAGGUCACAUUUUUAUGAAUUGAAAGACACCUUCUGUGUUUUCAGCAAGUUUGUCAGUCAAGAACAUUAGGACUGCAGGUGAGAUCUGUCUGUACCUUGUUUUCAGACAAAUCUGGUUUUGUUUUUUCUUUUUUU